rnacentral:rRNA from 1 species
AGUGAACGCUGGCGGUAGGCCUAACACAUGCUAGUCGAACGGCAGCACAGUAAGAGCUUGCUCUUACGGGUGGCGAGUGGCGGACGGGUGAGGAAUACAUCGGAAUCUACUUUUUCGUGGGGGAUAACGUAGGGAAACUUACGCUAAUACCGCAUACGACCUACGGGUGAAAGCAGGGGAUCUUCGGACCUUGCGCGAUUGAAUGAGCCGAUGUCGGAUUAGCUAGUUGGCGGGGUAAAGGCCCACCAAGGCGACGAUCCGUAGCUGGUCUGAGAGGAUGAUCAGCCACACUGGAACUGAGACACGGUCCAGACUCCUACGGGAGGCAGCAGUGGGGAAUAUUGGACAAUGGGCGCAAGCCUGAUCCAGCCAUACCGCGUGGGUGAAGAAGGCCUUCGGGUUGUAAAGCCCUUUUGCUGGGAAAGAAAAGCAGCAGGUUAAUACCCCGCUGUUCUGACGGUACCCAAAGAAUAAGCACCGGCUAACUUCGUG